rnacentral:rRNA from 1 species
AGUAAAAGUCGUAACAAGGUUUCCGUAGGUGAACCUGCGGAAGGAUCAUUAAAGAAUUCGGGCCUCCGGGCCCCCAUUCUCAACACUUUGUAUCUUAACCCCGUUGCUUUGGCGGAUUCGUCCGUCGAAGGACCUAAACUCUUGAAUUAUUGCUGUCUGAGUAUGAUUUUUAAUCGUUAAAACUUUCAACAACGGAUCUCUUGGUUCCAGCAUCGAUGAAGAACGCAGCGAAAUGCGAUAAGUAAUGUGAAUUGCAGAAUUCAGUGAAUCAUCGAAUCUUUGAACGCACAUUGCGCCCUCUGGUAUUCCGGGGGGCAUGCCUGUUCGAGCGUCAUUUCACCACUCAAGCCUCGCUUGGUAUUGAGCAACGCGGUCCGCCGCGUGCCUCAAAUCGACCGGCUGGGUCUUCUGUCCCCUAAGCGUUGUGGAAACUAUUCGCUAAAGGGUGCUCGGGAGGCUACGCCGUAAAACAAACCCAUUUCUAAGGUUGACCUCGGAUCAGGUAGGGAUACCCGCUGAACUUAAGCAUAUCAAUAAGCGGAGGA